rnacentral:rRNA from 4 species
AGUUCUCCCUGAGACUUAAAGUCUCCUGAAGGAACGUUGAAGACGACGACGUUGAUAGGCCGGGUGUGUAAGCGCAGCGAUGCGUUGAGCUAACCGGUACUAAUGAACCGUGAGGCUUAACCUUACAACGCCGAAG